rnacentral:rRNA from 1 species
GAUGAACGCUGGCGGCGUGCCUAAUACAUGCAAGUCGAGCGAACAGACGAGGAGCUUGCUCCUCUGACGUUAGCGGCGGACGGGUGAGUAACACGUGGAUAACCUACCUAUAAGACUGGGAUAACUUCGGGAAACCGGAGCUAAUACCGGAUAAUAUUUUGAACCGCAUGGUUCAAUAGUGAAAGACGGUUUUGCUGUCACUUAUAGAUGGAUCCGCGCCGCAUUAGCUAGUUGGUAAGGUGACGGCUUACCAAGGCGACGAUGCGUAGCCGACCUGAGAGGGUGAUCGGCCACACUGGAACUGAGACACGGUCCAGACUCCUACGGGAGGCAGCAGUAGGGAAUCUUCCGCAAUGGGCGAAAGCCUGACGGAGCAACGCCGCGUGAGUGAUGAAGGUCUUCGGAUCGUAAAACUCUGUUAUUAGGGAAGAACAAAUGUGUAAGUAACUGUGCACGUCUUGACGGUACCUAAUCAGAAAGCCACGGCUAACUACGUG